ensembl:lncRNA
GCUGCAUUCUCCAAACAACAACUUUAUCUUGUGCUAAUGCAUGCAGCAUCUCUAAAACAAGCAGGAUUGUGGAAGUAGCCAUUUUCAGAUAUCAAAUAGUACAGAUUUAGCAUGUAUCGGUGAGUGGUUGAGGUGCUGGGACUUGGACACUAAUCACUAAGGCGGCGCUGCCACACAGCACAAUAGGUUGCUGUGAACGCGUGGGUGUGCGCGAUGGUGGUCUGGUGAUUCUUUCAUGGCUUAAUGAGGUAAGCAACAACAUGCCUGAGGCCACGCU